UUGCAUUAGACCAGGUUGCUCAGAGCCCCACCCAGCCCAGCUUUGAACAAUUCCAGGGAUAGGAUAUCCACAUCUCCUUUUGUAUUAAAUAUAUGGUUUGGUUAUUUUACAAUAGUCUGCUGUUUGUAUAGUCUCCACAGCUGAGAUGCUAAGUCUCAGCUAUUUCACUGCCCAUUCACUUUUAUAUUUAACAAUUCAAAUACCAAAGUACAGAAGUAAAAAACAAUGAGCAAGGGUUGAUGUGAUCUGUCUGUUAGUUUUGUUUUUGCAACAAUCUUUUCACUUCCCUAGCUGAACCUGGAAAUUAGGGUGCACUUCGUUUUUACUGCACAUAAUAUUUUAAGCUGAAACCUUUUUGUUUCCUUGUGCAUCAUAAUGACAAAAAGUAGUGCUGCGGUUCACUUUUAAACAGCCAGGUUUUUUGUCAAAUAACAGAGUUGGGGUCAUGCUCUAGACUGUAGGCAUUUAAACCAGACAGUUCAUGCUUCAAGUCAUGCAUACUGCCACUGUGUCUUAGACUGUCUCUUUCACCCAUCACAGUGUCCUUCAGUGUGUUGGAUACACAGGUACCCUUCAAAGCUAUUCUGGUCGGGAACAAAAAUUUAACCAAGAGAAACUUCAGGGCAUUCUCUCAGAGAAGGUAAACAUUACUAGAAUGUUCAACAACAUGAACAUUCUAGUUGUUGAACCGUGUAAAUAUUGUGUCUUUGUUCUAGCUAGAAAGAAACUGCAGGCAAGGCUGAUAGAAUCUUGUGUAGACCCAUUUUAAAAGGUAGUUACUACCCAAUAAUAGCAGCAGGUUAAUGUGCUUUGUUUUUUUUAAGAUGCACUGGCUGUUCUUGAUCAAACUUGGAACAACCUGAGGCCACUGCAACUUAAGCAGGAGCCAGGUCAGUUUGUGCAUUAUGUUCUUUGUUCUUUCUGCCCCUUGCACAAGUGUAGAAACAGAUUCAAAUACAGGCAUCCAGCACUGCUGGGAAGCAUCUGCUGGUAAAAGCAGAGGUGAAAAUGAGGGGACAGGACAAAUUGUCACAAAAAUCUGAUUUUGCUGGUGCUGGUCCUGGUGAUGUGAUUAAUAUGUGACUAACAGGAGAAUUAAGAGCCUUUUGAAGAAAAGAAAGUAACACACUGGCUAUGAUCCUUCAUAACGGGCAUGAAUAUGUUAUACAUAGUUAUGUAUGACUUGUGCUUGCAUACAUACUAACUUUUCUUGUCAUAGAUAGGACUGCUUGUAGUAACUCCUCAAAACCCUAAACUGGGCUAAUCUGUAAUUUUUAUGGCACAGGUUUCUCUCAGUUACUUUCUAAUCUUAGUUUGGCCUUUUGCCCUUUAAAAUUAUGUUAUUUCAUUACAGAUCAAAUAUCAGUCGGUGUUAAGUCUUGACUGUAUGAAAAAGGUAGAGCUGAAAAUUCCCACUGGCACUCCCAAAGGUUAGAACAUGUAACAGAAACAGUGGAAAUAAUUAACCAGAACCACCCACACUAGGAUCCAAGGUACACAGAAUUGCACUCAUUGUUCUGUUGUCUUGGUAUGAGCUGCCUGCCAUGUCUGCUUUCCUCGCACUGAUAGUUCUCUAGGCUUGGAGAUUCAAUUACUCUGAUUCCUUGGCCUGAAUCCUACUUCUAAUGGAAGUAAGCGACUGACAUAGUCUGAUUUCGGGCACCCUGUGAUGUACCUGAUAUUGUGGAAUUAAGCUGUCUUGUCUUCUACUCUGUACUGCUGGGAAAAUAACUGGAGGUGCUUCUGAGCAAAUUCUCGCAGAUGCUUUUUGUGAAACACUUCCUAGAGACAGCUUCUCAGUGUUGUUAAAAUGGGAACAGGCUGGGUGCACAAGUGAGACUUUGCAUAAACAAUGCAGCAAUGGAAUUAAGAACUCUGGUUUACAUGGAAUCCUGCCUGCAUAAUUUGAAAAAUAUUAUCCCUGGUUUUGGCAGUGGCUGCAACAAUUUAUUCCUUACAAUAAGUAAACUAAUAUAAUUAACACAGAGUGUAGCGGUGUUCUGAUGUUCACUGUCUUCCCCACUCAUGUUCUUAUAAUACUUAAAACAUCACCUCUUGAAGUAACUUUUAAUAAAGUUUGUGGAAGUUUGAUUCUGCUGUUCUACAUUUGACUUCCUUGUGGGCAGGGGUUGUGUACCUGUUGGGCUCCAUCAGCCUGAAGAGCUGCACAGUGAGGCAGGCAACUGGCUGUUGUCAGUGCUUACACCCCUAACCUUGCUUUAUGAAACUCACACUCUGAAACUCCUGCCUAUUGUAAAAUGUGGGUUGCAUAUCUGCAUACUACCAAAGUAAAUACCACAAUUCUUCCUAAAGGUGUGUGCUGAAAAAAAUAUGGAAAAUUUGACAACUUGAGAGAGACUUUCCAUAAAACAGAAGUCCAUGAGUCUAUGAGUUAAGGUUUAACCAUAAAAUGUACAAAUGAAGAACUCACUGCUGCUAUCUGAAUCCACAGAUCAACGCAAAAGGUAAAAAGGAUGAAACCAGGAAUAGAAACAAGCAAACACUAUGCCACACAGUUGCUGCUGGAGGAUGUUGCCUUCUUUCCUUCUGGUUCUAUAUGUUGUCAAAGAUGAGUCAUACUGGCAAAAUCAGUUUAUAGGCAAAAGGUUUAUGACAACUUACCUAUUCUUUCAUUACAUUUUCCUUAUCUUGCAUCAUUAUUUUAGGUUUUGGAUGAAAGGUAAAACUGUAAAUAUCCUGGGAAAGUGUCACUGUAUCUUUACUGUCUUCUUUUACUAAUAAUACUGGGCUAGAAGGAGUCAUAGACAAAUACAGCGUAAAACUUACAUAAGUCAUUCUUAAACCUAAUCUACCCUUUUACAUAACAGCUUUAAGGAGUCAGAUUGCUAGCUCUGCAACUGCAUGCAGUCAGAAUGGUGAUUAAUUUGCUUGUAGCAUACUUUGCUUCUAAUAUGCAACCCCAUUGUCAAACCUCCACAUUCUUUGCCUUGGAUUAAUGGACAUUGGUCAUGGCAUAUUGAUCUCUUCCAUCACAGGUUGCUGAUGCUCUGCAAGUGUUCUGCAGUUUUCAGUGACAGCUCAUGGCUUCCUUCUGCACCAUGUCUGAACAUUGCAGGUGAAGAUACCUUCCAGUGGGAUGCCAUCAUGAAGUGCAGACAGCAGAUGGGAACAAGCAAGGGAAAACUUGAUGGGUUAAGAACUUCUAAGAUUUGGGAAGCAUCAACUUGAUGAAAUAGACUAUUUCAUAUGGAAGAGACCUACGGGCAUGUAAUCUAACUACCUGACCAGUAUGUCCAGGAAAGUAGUGUAGUCACCAUCCCUAAAGCUUAUUUAGAUGCUUAUUGGACUGGGUCUGGAGAUCACCUUGUAAGCACAAAGGUAGGUAUGUCUUUGAUUAUUUCUCUGGUUAGUGAUUGGAUCUAAGGCUCUAAUGGAUAAACUCUGGAGGACCCAGUUACAGAAGCUUCCUUUUCUGCAGCUUGUAAAUACCUUGUUUCUAAAUACCUUGUUUCCUGUGUGCAGCAGCAGAAGUGCUGGUGUCUGUAUCUACCUAGCUCCAUUUCCUGUUCAGUGCAGAACCCACCCCACGUUUGCCUAGUGGAUGAUGAGUUGCAGCUCUUAAGGCAUGAGCACAGUCACCUGCACCUUCUGUUCACUCUCCUCAGAGCCUGAGAACCACUGGGCUCAACGGGGCCUGUGAAGAUGUCUGAGGAUAUGAAGAGUGACAGGCAGGUGUAAAGUGCUGGUACCUGGAGC